GCGGGAAAGCAAAAUGGUGUCUUUUGCGCUUUUUAGGAAAUAAUAUUAUGAUUAUCAUUGGUUCUUGUUUAUGCCCUGUUAUACUCAUAUUUUUAAGAGCAUAAGGAAACACGCGUUCCAAAUGUGGUGCUACCAUUGGCGUACAACAAACAACUAGACUCACAAUCACGAUCAAAAAUUGUCUGAAGCAAGACUCUGCCUUCGAGUCAACUAAGCAAAGUUUUUGUUCAGUUGUGUUUCGACCGCGCUUUGAAUACCACGCCACGCAAUGGUUCAGUGAAAAACUGUUCAAAUAAUAUCAUGUCCAAAGUUAACAAUGAUGGAGUGUCGUAUUUCAGUAGUGGUGUGGUGCGGGCAGAGAUCUGUGCCGGCGUUCACUACGUGAGUGCCGGUAGAGCAGUGUUAGCAC